CAGGGGAAGGUUCGUCCGCCCUGGGUAAGUCGGGACCUAACGCGAGGCCGAAAGGCGUAGUGGAUGGAAAACAGGCAGAUAUUCCUGUACCCGUAUGAGGAGCGAAGGAGUGACGGAGAAGGCUAGUGUGACCCUAUGAAUGGAUUUAGGGCGAAGCGGAGCAGCAGGUGCAUAGUGAAAUGCGUGCACAGGAUGCAGGACGUGACAGGUAAGCGAACGUUUCGACAAGUAGCGAAGCACAUGAGGCCAGCUUCCAAGAAAAGCUUCUAGCGAUAAUCUUCAUGCGGCCCGUACCAAAACCGACACAGGUGGGCAAGGAGAGUAUCCUAAGGUGAGCGAGAGAACUGUUGCCAAGGAACUCGGCAAAAAGACUCCGUAAGUUCGCGAGAAGGAGUGCUCUUGAGAGAGAGCCGCAGCGAAGAGGCCCAAGCGACUGUUUAACUAAAACACAGCUCUCUGCGAAGUCGCAAGACGAAGUAUAGGGGGUGACGCCUGCCCGGUGCCGGAAGGUUAAGGGGAGUUGUCAGCGAAAGCGAAGCAAUGAACCGAAGCCCCGGUGAACGGCGGCCGUAACUAUAACGGUCCUAAGGUAGCGAAAUUCCUUGUCAGGUAAGUUCUGACCCGCACGAAAGGCGUAACGAUUUGGGCGCUGUCUCGGCAGCAGACUCGGUGAAAUCUUAGUACCUGUGAAAAUGCAGGUUACCCGCAACUAGACGGAAAGACCCCAUGGAGCUUUACUGCAGCCUGAUAUUGAAUUUUGAUGAAGCAUGUACAGGAUAGGUGGGAGGCGAAGAGACGUGCACGCCAGUGUACGAGGAGCCGACGUUGGGAUACCACUCUUGUUUGAUCGAGGUUCUAACCUGGUGCCUGAGACGGGCAUGGGGAGAGUGUCAGGUGGGCAGUUUGACUGGGGCGGUCGCCUCCCAAAGAGUAACGGAGGCGCCCAAAGGUACGCUCAGAUUGGAUGGAAAUCAAUCGACGAGUGCAAAUGCAGAAGCGUGCUUGACUGUGAGAGCAACAACUCGAACAGGGACGAAAGUCGGGAUUAGUGAUCCGGCGGUGCCGAAUGGAAGGGCCGUCGCUCAACGGAUAAAAGCUACCCUGGGGAUAACAG
rnacentral:rRNA from 1 species